GGAAACGGUUGGUGGCAUUUGGGUUCACAAAAUAAACAGUAGGUUAACGAAACCGUAAUCACUCUCUUUCACUGCUCAAGUGCUCUUCAAUGGCUUCUCUUGUCGGUCCAUCUGCCGCCAUAUCUGUUAAACACAAGGUAUUAUUACCAAUUAUCUCAAUUCUUUCAAUUUAUGAUUUCUUUUGCACUUGACAAUCUCAGGAUUAUCAUACUCUGCCGUUUCUAUAAAGAAUCAAUGAUUUUAGUUUAUUUUUUGCUAAUCAAUUUCUAUAUCUAAUUAGAUAGUUUAUUUUUUGCUAGUUAAAUUCUAUAUCUAAUCAGAUAGGAAUAAUCAGUUUCUAUAAGGAAUCAAUGAAUUUCAUUUGAAAUAAAAAAAGGCUUUAUGAAUGUUGGUAUUUAUCAGUUUGUUUUUAUUUUAUUUUUUUUAAAUCGACGAUGUGUAUGAUGUAUCUGUUCGGUUCCUGAGAAAAUGUGUUCAAAAGAAGAGGAGGAAAACUUGGUCACGCGUAAAUUAGCUUUUCUAAUGAUAGGGAUGGGGGCUCCAUAUUUGAUCUUUUAUAUUAUGCAUAACAGCAUAGGUUAAGGUUAGCAUAGGUUAAGGUUAUUGAUGGCUAGCUCAUUGAAAGGAAUUAAAGAAGGUGGUUGGGGUCCCACUGUCUUAGCUGGUAAUAGCUGCAAUACUUAGAAAAAGAAGCUAUGGGAGUCUCCUGGAUUUGUGCUUGGCUGGGACCGCUGAUUCCCAAGUCAGAGCCGAUCCAAUUUUGAGGGAGAAAAUUGAGAGAAAUGAGAGUUAAGGGAGCAAAAAUGAUCAUCCAUUUUGUUUUACCUUAGGCCUUGUCGCUUUAAUGUAGGAGAGGAGGAGUAUGUUUUUUUUUUUGUUUAACUUUUGUCCACAUCAGUCUCAUUUCUUUUGUCAUUGUUCUUCAGCUAUGCUAAAGAAGAGCAAUUCAUGAGGCUGCAGUUAAUGUCUAAUACAAUUUAUCUGUCUUGUUGCCCUUGAUUAUUUUUGAAUCAUUGUCAAUGUUGCAGGUGAAUCCUCUUAGAAUCGGACCUAUAUCUACAAACUCACUAUCCCCUUUUUACCACUCUAUUGUUGGUAGUAAUAAGUUUCAUGAGCUUUCUUUCAAGACAAAAGCCAAACUGUCUGUUGAAGCUGAUGUAGUUGAGAAAGAAGCAAGGCAUGUCAAUGAGAAGAUAGGUAAUUCUUCUUGUAGUUUCCACUUUACUAGAUAGCAGUUCUCUUUCUAGGCUGUAUUGGAUUGAUGAAAGCAAGUACCAAGUAUUGGCCUUGCUUAAAGCAUUUUUUGAAGAAGAUUUGGAUGCAAUGUUGCUUAAUGAAUCAUUUCAGAAAGUAACCCUUCUCCUAGUAUUUGGAUGCAAUAUGCUCCCUCAAUCACCAAAAAGGAAACUAGUUGUAUAAUUAAAAAUUUGACAUGCUAUUGUCCAUGCUUCUUCAAAUUUGGGACAAUAGUUUAGAUCAUGUUGCUUUCCUUUGGAUAAAUGCUUGUUUACUUGUUUAUACGGAAGAAUGUAUUAUGUUAAUCAUGCAAACCAAGUUUGAGUUAGAAGUAACAAGGAGCAAUUGUGAUCCUCCUAAUGCAUUUUACCUUCAUGUUCCUAAAUGCACUCAGAAUGGGAUAAUUAAAUGCAAAAAAGCAAAUGUAUUUCCACACCCUCUUUCUCUAUGUGACUGCAUGCAUGUAUACAUCUAUGAUAUAUGGUAGCUUUUGACGUUCAAUGUAUAUAAAAUAGGUUCAAGAACAAAACUGCUAACAGUUGUUCCUUUUUGGGGAUAAACUUUAUCUUUUAAUCUAUUGGUGUGUCAUGUGUGCAGAUUAUGGGGUUGUUAGUGUUCACCAUGUUGGAGUGCUGUGUGAAAAUCUUGAACGGUCACUUGAAUUUUAUCAAGGCAUUUUAGGUCUUGAAAUAAAUGAGGCAAGGCCACAUGAUAAGCUUCCCUAUAGGGGUGCUUGGUUGUGGGUGGGUUCUGAAAUGAUCCACUUAAUGGAGCUUCCAAAUCCUGACCCCUUAACUGGACGACCUCAACAUGGUGGCCGAGACAGACAUACUUGCAUUGCUAUUCGCGAUGUGUCCAAGUUGAAGGCAAUCCUUGAUAAAGCUGGUACACUGUUCUCUUCCCAUCCCCAGUUAUCACUGCUUGCAUAAAAUAAAAUAAAAUCACAUUUUUGUGUAAUUAAGUCAGAGCAUGCCUAAAAUAUACAUGGCUCUUUAUUAUCUAAUGAAGUCAGGAUAGGAAAGUAUAUUUUGCAAAUAACUGUUUAGCUUACUUAUGGAAUGCUGAAUCUUUUAAUGUUUGCAGGAAUUCCCUACACACUUAGCCGGUCUGGGAGGCCUGCAAUCUUUACACGAGAUCCAGAUGCAAAUGCUCUAGAGUUCACUCAAGUCGAUAACUGAUAUUAUUACCCAUAGGUGGAAGAUUUUAAUAUGACCUUGGUGUUUGUCUACUCUCAAACACCAACAUGUAAAGAUUGCAAGUACCAGAUGUGCAGGAACAUGGAUUUAUGCACCUAUUUGAUAUACAAGAUCACAGGUUAUGAAUUAUGUGCCCCAAAUGUGCUUGCUGUUAUGUAGUAGACCCUGCAGAUAUCCUGUAACAAACAAAGAACACCAUUAGAGGAACUCAACAGAAUUAGUUCACCUGGUAAUAAUGGAAACUUCUCUUUCUUGUCAAUCAGGAUUUGACUUCAAGGGGAGCACUCCAAAAUUAGUUUCAUUGCGUGAAAAUUGGCCCAAGAAUACACU
rnacentral:misc_RNA from 1 species